UCCUAAUCUCCCUUCACUCUCCUUCUGUUCAGUUUGUUCUACAUCUCUGUUCUCAUUUGGUAUCAGAGCAUAGAAUAGUUUUCCUUACCUAGUUUCAUAAGUAGCCCAAGUAUGGAGUCUGUACCUGAGCCUCCGAUUGUAGAUGUAGACCUCCGAAGCAUGACUUCAGAAGAAAGUGAACGAAAAUAGUGAUCAAGUUAGAUUGCUUUCUAAGAUGUGGGAGGCAAUAGUGCUUGUUAAAGUGUAGUUGAAGCACAAGGGCAAAGCCUGAUUAUGCGGAGCCUUUUGUUGUCAAUACUUGAGAAAUUAAAAUACUUAAUAGUCAGAAUAUCAAUAUACAGUUAAAACAUAAAGGAAAAGAAGAAGCUAUGGAUACAAAGGUAGUCUCAAGGGAUGAAGCUUCUUUGCUUAGCAUGGGCAAAGGCACGGUACCACGCAAACCUUGCUUUGGUAGUAUUCCACCAAACUUCCAGCCCAAUCUUGGGUACACAAUAGCUUGAUGAAGUGCGCUGCUGAAGUCGGGAACCAUAACAUCUUGUGGAUAUGAAAGGCAUAUUGAGGAAUAAUUAGUAGCUUGCGCAGUAGGAUGAUCGGCCAACUGCAAGAAAUUGGAUGCUCUUUAACCCUGUUAUUGUACAGGAGUUUAUACAAUUCAAGAAAUUGUUUUCCUUUCGAAUGUAAUUGAAACAAAAGCCAAUCAGUGCAACAUUACUCAAUC